ACACAUCAAAUUUGUUCAGGCUAUCUAACACAUCUAAUGCUCCCUAGAAGUCAUUCUUGAAAGGUGAUGGGCCAAGUGGAUUCUUUUCAUCCUCUGGUUGGUGUCUUAU